UCAAAAAGCAGGGAGUGACAGUCUGACAGAGGGGAGUCCGAGCACGGGUGGGGUGGAGACCGGAGCGGCGAGGGUUUCGGUGCCGGCGUCGGUGGCCUGGGUGGAGAAACCCCAUCAUCCCUCGCGCCCUCCGCCCGCCUCGGGAGGCCGGCAGGGCUCCGGAUCUGCUGGCCGCCGCCGCCGGCAUCGGACCCUUCGCUUCGGUGGGAAGUUCUCCGCCGCAUUGCCCCGUCUCCCACGCCUGUUUCCCCCGGCUUUCCGGUGGUUUGAUGCUUUGUUCCGCUCGAUCUCGGCGUAGAUAUCGGCUCAGAUCUGAGCUCGAAAACGGAUCAGAAAUGGCUAAUGCGGCGCUGGCUACUCUGUUCUGGGCGCUGAGGCCUGUGUCUGGGUCAGCCGUUGCUUCCGCUGAAGCUCUGCCACUGACCUAGGGCCGGCCCUUGUUGAGGUCGCUCUACCUCUCCGUCCUCCUCCUCCUCCUCGUCGCCGCCGCACUUUUGCCAUGGCCUCGCCUCGCCUCGCUGCUUCUUUUGGUUCACCCAGACAUGCCCCAGUGCCAGCUUUGGAGCCCGCCGCACUAGCCUGCGAUGAAAACUGAAAUCUGAGGGCCAUAU